AGCUGGUCCGAUGGUAGUGGGUUAUCAGAACUUAUUAACAUUAGUGUCACUAAAGUUGGUAUUCAACCCCCCACUGCUAAAUUUGACUGGCUUAAA
rnacentral:Y_RNA from 1 species